AAAAUGGCGCCGUUCACUCGACUCCUGGGCUUUUGAGUCAGCCGGCCUUGGCGCCAGACGAGGUGGCAGGGGGAGCGGAGACCCUGUGGGUCAUCGUCAGGGACGGUUUUGAGGGUGAGCUGGCUUGGAUUCUGCGGCUUGGGAAUGGAGCCUGGGCCUCUCCGGUGGGCUGAGUAAGAGUCUUGCCGCUGGUACCCAGGCCUAGUUAGGUCCAGAGCUGCCCAGAGGAUCCCCCAAAGGCAGUCUUGUUAGGCCGUAUCCCAGAACAUACCUAAAGGUCACACAGCUUUAGUACCCCUUGGUGGUUUGUAUUAAACUCACCAAGCGAUCUUCUCCAGAAAUCAAGGCUAAAGAAAUCCUGACAAAAGAAUCCAACGUGCAAGAGGUUCGAUGUCCAGUUACUGUCUGUGGAGAUGUGCAUGGGCAAUUUCAUGAUCUCAUGGAACUGUUUAGAAUUGGUGGCAAAUCACCAGAUACAAAUUACUUGUUUAUGGGAGAUUAUGUUGACAGAGGAUAUUAUUCAGUUGAAACAGUUACACUGCUUGUAGCUCUUAAGGUUCGUUACCGUGAACGCAUCACCAUUCUUCGAGGGAAUCAUGAGAGCAGACAGAUCACACAAGUUUAUGGUUUCUAUGAUGAAUGUUUAAGAAAAUAUGGAAAUGCAAAUGUUUGGAAAUAUUUUACAGAUCUUUUUGACUAUCUUCCUCUCACUGCCUUGGUGGAUGGGCAGAUCUUCUGUCUACAUGGUGGUCUCUCGCCAUCUAUAGAUACACUGGAUCAUAUCAGAGCACUUGAUCGCCUACAAGAAGUUCCCCAUGAGUUAUUUUUUAGGGUCCAAUGUGUGACUUGCUGUGGUCAGAUCCAGAUGACCGUGGUGGUUGGGGUAUAUCUCCUCGAGGAGCUGGUUACACCUUUGGGCAAGAUAUUUCUGAGACAUUUAAUCAUGCCAAUGGCCUCACGUUGGUGUCUAGAGCUCACCAGCUAGUGAUGGAGGGAUAUAACUGGUGCCAUGACCGGAAUGUAGUAACGAUUUUCAGUGCUCCAAACUAUUGUUAUCGUUGUGGUAACCAAGCUGCAAUCAUGGAACUUGACGAUACUCUAAAAUACUCUUUCUUGCAGUUUGACCCAGCACCUCGUAGAGGCGAGCCACAUGUUACUCGUCGUACCCCAGACUACUUCCUGUAAUGAAAUUUUAAACUUGUACAGUAUUGCCAUGAACCAUAUAUCGACCUAAUGGAAAUGGGAAGAGCAACAGUAACUCCAAAGUGUCAGAAAAUAGUUAACAUUCAAAAAACUUGUUUUCACAUGGACCAAAAGAUGUGCCAUAUAAAAAUACAAAGCCUCUUGUCAUCAACAGCCGUGACCACUUUAGAAUGAACCAGUUCAUUGCAUGCUGAAGCGACAUUGUUGGUCAAGAAACCAGUUUCUGGCAUAGCGCUAUUUGUAGUUACUUUUGCUUUCUCUGAGAGACUGCAGAUAAUAAGAUGUAAACAUUAACACCUCGUGAAUACAAUUUAACUUCCAUUUAGCUAUAGCUUUACUCAGCAUGACUGUAGAUAAGGAUAGCAGCAAACAAUCAUUGGAGCUUAAUGAACAUUUUUAAAAAUAAUUACCAAGGCCUCCCUUCUACUUGUGAGUUUUGAAAUUGUUCUUUUUAUUUUCAGGGAUACCGUUUAAUUUAAUUAUAUGAUUUGUCUGCACUCAGUUUAUUCCCUACUCAAAUCUCAGCCCCAUGUUGUUCUUUGUUAUUGUCAGAACCUGGUGAGUUGUUUUGAACAGAACUGUUUUUUCCCCUUCCUGUAAGACGAUGUGACUGCACAAGAGCACUGCAGUGUUUUUCAUAAUAAACUUGUGAACUAAGAACUGAGAAGGUCAAAUUUUAAUUGUAUCAAUGGGCAAGACUGGUGCUGUUUAUUAAAAAAGUUAAAUCAAUUGAGUAAAUUUUAGAAUUUGUAGACUUGUAGGUAAAAUAAAAAUCAAGGGCACUACAUAACCUCUCUGGUAACUCCUUGACAUUCUUCAGAUUAACUUCAGGAUUUAUUUGUAUUUCACAUAUUACAAUUUGUCACAUUGUUGGUGUGCACUUUGUGGGUUCUUCCUGCAUAUUAACUUGUUUGUAAGAAAGGAAAUCUGUGCUGCUUCAGUAAGACUUAAUUGUAAAACCAUAUAACUUGAGAUUUAAGUCUUUGGGUUUUGUUUUAAUAAAACAGCAUGUUUUCAGGUAGAGCUUAAACUAAAUGAUGUGUUUACUUAGUGCAGUUUCUGGUUAUGAAUAUUAUAUUGCUAUGUGUAUAUUAUAUGGACUCUUUAAAAUGAUUGACAGAUUGGCAAAUUCUUAAAUCUUUGUACAUUGUUGAGUCAUAUGUUCUUAGAGUUAAAUUUGUCUCAGAUAAGAAAGUGUUAAAGCAUUAGCCUGUGUCAAGUUCUUUGAGUGAUACUAGUGAAACCAAAUAGAAAACUAUUGUUGGAUCAUGAUUUAGUCUUAUGUACAUUCACCCGAAGACAAAAAUGGUACUUAAAGUGGCAGUGUUCAACAUUUAAUGAGUUUUUCCCCUUUUAUCCUUCGAAUAGGAUUAGAUGUUUAAAAAAAAGUUCUUCUGUGGGAACUAAUAUUUGAUAUUUUAACCUACCAGAGUAAACAGGAACACUUAAUCAUACUUGUGAGUGUAGUAAAUAAAAGUUUUCUUGCUUUGUGCUGUGUUGAAUCUGGAACCAACAGGGAAGUUAUAGCAUAUCCCCUUUCUAAAAUGCUUGAGGAACACAUACAUACCGAAUGUCUUUUCUGAUCUAAUUGAUAGUAUUUUUAGUGGCUUGUGGAGUUAAUUUUCCAAAGCAAAAGGCCAUUAGGGUUUCUACAUUUCAUUUCAUUUCAUUCUUUUCUUUCACAAGAAAUACAUUCUCUGUGUGUCUUUUUGUUGCUCUGUCACUCUAUGCCCUUUCUCUCCGACUGAACAAAUAGCUUAUCCAUGUGCAGUGGUUUUAAUACCCAAACAAUCUAGACACCAAGCAGCUAUUUUUUCCGGUCCUGUGAUAUCAGAAUUGACCAAGGAAUACGUAUAUUGUAAUUGACACGUGGUGGUAUCUUCCAGGUACAAAUUCUCUAAAUUUUGUGGUUAGCAGAAUGGGACUUGUGAUAAGAAUAGCUUGGUUUUAGCAUAACUAGGGUUUAAAAUAAUUGUUUAAUUAUAGAGACUGACCGGGCUUUGGCCAUCUAAACUGGAAAGUGUUAGUACCCUACCUUCUUUUGAAAAUGGCUAUGGUAAGGAAAAUGUGUUAGUAAAUUAUGUAUUUUCUUGAAAAAUACAUAAUUAUGGUUGGAUGGGAAUCACUAAGUUGGGUGUUAACUGAUGUCUCAAUUAGUAACAUUAGGAUUUUCAUUAAUAAACCUAAAAAGCUUUCCCUAAGAACAGGCCUGGCACAGUGGCUCAUGCCUGUAAUCCCAGCACUUUGGGAGACCAGGGUGGGUGGAUCCCUUGAGGUCAGGAGUUGAAGAGCAGCCUGGCCAACAUGGCAAAACCCCAUCUCUACAAAAAAUAUGAAAAUCAGCCGGGCUUGGUGGCAUACCAUAGUCCCAGCUACUUGGGAGGCUGAGGUGAGAGGAUCGCCUGAGCCCAGGAGAUGGAGGUUGCAGUGGGCUGAGAUUGUGCCACUGUACUCCAGUCUGGGUGACAGAGCCAGACCCUGUCUCAAAAAUAAAGAGGAUUCUGAGUUUGUAUAGUGAGGGCUUGCAGAAAUUUUGAAACUUAUUUUGUAAGUUUACAAUGAAUUUGUACAUGAUGUGCUCAUGUCUUGGGUUGAGUAUCCUAGACAUGAUUUUUUCAUUUGCUGCAUAUUAAACAUUUGUUGGUUGUAGUCGGUAUUUCUUAAAUAGAAGUUUGUCAAUAUUAGAUUAGUUUCAAGAAGGACUUAGCUCAGGAAAAGGAUAGUUAUUUCUGUGGUUCUCAGCUUUGAUGCCUACAGAGAUUCUGAUUUAAAUUGCUGGAGGAGGGCCCAGGCAUACAUUUUUUAAGUUUCCCAAGUGAUUCUAAUUUACAUCUAGGGUUAAAAACAGCCAGGCGCGGUGGCUCAUGCCUGUAAUCCCAGCACUUGGGGAGGCCGGGGUGGGUGGAUCACCUGAUGUCAGGAGAUCGAGACCAGCCUGGCCAGCGUGGUGAAACCCCAUCUCUAUUAAAAAUACAAAACUGACCGGUGUGGUGGCAGGAGCCUGUAAUCCCAGCUACUUGGGAGGCUGAGGCAGGAGAAUCACUUGAACUCAGGAGGAGGAGGUUACAGUGAGCCCAGAUCGUGCCAUUGCACUCCAGCCUGGGCAAAAAGAGCAAAACUCCAUCUCAAAAAACAAAAACACCUCACUGCUGUUUCCUAAGUACAUACUUAAGAAAAUUGGGAUACAUGGUGGUGGUUCAUGGAUGUUGAUAAGGAAUUAAAAUGUACCGUGCGACUCUCUGUUUCAGUGGUGACUUUUACCUGUUUAGUAUAAAUAUUCCUUUGCUUCCAACCAUAAAUGUGUUCUUAGAAAUGGGCCUAUAGUUUAGUAACCUAUAGUUUGGUAAUAGGCUUGUUUGUUUUCAGAUGGAUUUUGGUUCUGUGAGCUAAAGCUAUUUUGCAUUAAAGCCUUCGUCCUCACA